GCUUUGAUUCUGAGUCGGAGAGGUAAAACUCGAAUUCCUCGGCUGUGUAGGCCGGAUUUAGCGGGGCGGCAAUGGCUCGGCAACGAAUUACGGCUAAGAACAUUAUCACAUACUGCCAAUAUCAAAAAAGAAAAUCACUAUCAUUUUCUGGUCACACAAACAGUACAAUGUAUUAAAAGAAAAAAGAAGAGAAUGAACGAGAAAGUAAAAUACCUCAACGGUGUUGGGAAAAGUGAGAGCGACGACAUGGCCAGGAGAGACACCGGAAGCGACAAGGAGAGAAGCGGCAUGAUCAAUGAGGUGUUGUAAUUGAGAAUGAGUCAGAUCGAGUUUUCGAGAAACAUGAAUGGCACGAUUAUUUGGGAAUUCAGCAGCAGAUUUCUUUAACAAACCAGUUAAGGUAAGGGUUUCCAUUUUCUGAAAAUAUAUGUUAAUUUUAUAUCAGAAAAGAAAUAGAAACAAAUAAUAGAUGUAGUCAAGAAAUAAAUAAAAGAGAGAAAGAAGAUGUGAAUAAGAAUGGUGCGGAGAAGAAGAAGCGUACACGAGGAGGCUUUAUAGUUCGGGAGCAGGGGGAGGUUAUAGCUGGGAAGGUGAGAAGGAACAUGUUCGCUAUAACUGAAGGGUCAGUUUAAGCGUGUGUUCGCCUUUGGACUUCGAGAUUUCUUCUGCGUUCCAUGAACAUACAUAUCCAUCAAUCACCUACCCUUCUUUUCUUUUCU